GGGAAUGAUUGGGUAGCUGGUGCUCCCCGCGGCCUUCAAAGCCGUUGUCCUAGGGUGACCUAGGAGCUGGGUUCGAUUCCCAGGCGUUCCCGCCA
rnacentral:tRNA from 1 species